rnacentral:rRNA from 1 species
GAUGAACGCUGGCGGCGUGCCUAAUAAAUGCAAGUCGAGCGAACAGACGAGGAGCUUGCUCCUCUGACGUUAGCGGCGGACGGGUGAGUAACACGUGGGUAACCUACCUAUAAGACUGGGAUAACUUCGGGAAACCGGAGCUAAUACCGGAUAAUAUAUUGAACCGCAUGGUUCAAUAGUGAAAGACGGGUUUGCUGUCACUUAUAGAUGGAUCCGCGCCGCAUUAGCUAGUUGGUAAGGUAACGGCUUACCAAGGCAACGAUGCGUAGCCGACCUGAGAGGGUGAUCGGCCACACUGGAACUGAGACACGGUCCAGACUCCUACGGGAGGCAGCAGUAGGGAAUCUUCCGCAAUGGGCGAAAGCCUGACGGAGCAACGCCGCGUGAGUGAUGAAGGUCUUCGGAUCGUAAAACUCUGUUAUUAGGGAAGAACAAAUGUGUAAGUAACUAUGCACGUCUUGACGGUACCUAAUCAGAAAGCCACGGCUAACUACGUG